rnacentral:rRNA from 1 species
GACAGAGGAGCCAAGCGUUGUCCGGAUUGACUUGGGCGGUAAAGCGCACGCAUGGCGGAUGCGCGUCGUGGGGUGUGAAAUCUGGCCGCUUAACGGCCAGGCGCCAUCCCAUACGGCGCGUCUGGAGUGAUGCAGAGGUCGAUGGAAUUGCCGGUGUAGUGGUGAAAUGCGUAGAGAUCGGCAGGAACACCCAGGGGGAAACCAGUCGAACUGG